UGUAGGGCACUGUUGAAUAAUUAGGGCUUAAGUCUCUUUCUAUAAUUGUCUCAUGGGUAUUUUAAGGUAAAUUUGAUUUCAGUUCAGUUCAGUCGCUCAGUCGUGUCCGACUCUUUGCGACCCCAUGAACCAUACCACGCCAGGCCUCCCUGUCCAUCACCAACUACCAGAAUUCACCCAAAUCCAUGUCCAAAUUUGAUUUAGAUUUUUGCAAUUGUAGUAAUAGGGCAAGAGGCAUAAAUAUUAGGGUAUUAAUAAAAAAUUUUAAUAUUAAAUGUUAUUUUGAAAGGUUAUUCAUUUUAAUAGAGUAUAAAAAUAAGGGAAACAUUGAAGCCAUCAUUUAUUUCACAGGAGUAAGAUAUGCUAAUAUGGGCUGGAUUAAAAUAACUUCUUUGAGUAAAGAGUAACAGAUGUAAGGAUAUAGUUUGUAUUUAGGAAUGGAAAAGUAGUCUGACCUGCCAUUAGUAACUUUCACUGUCUCCUCUUUGGUAGGACAGGCAGAGUGAGGUAGGGGUGGUGUCACUGUGAACAUUAGGGACCAUCCUUCUGUGUCUGUCACCGAAAGUGCAUCUCAGAGAGUCAGAUUCUGCAGAUCUGAGGUGAGGUUCAGAAGCUCCCCCAGGAAUUCUGAAUCCCUUCAACGAGAUCUGAGUCAGAGCAGGAGUCUGUGGUGAUAACCUUAUCCUCCCCUUCCUCUUGGACACCAAGGCUUUGAGGGAGCAUGAAGAGAUGCCUGGGGAACUCAGGAGAGCAGGGUUCUGCCAGUUGGGUCCUCCCCGUGGGGUUAGAGGUCAGGAGUGAGGUGGUGCCCAGAAGUCAUUUCCACAUGACUUGAGCUGCAGUGGUCAAGGGCAGAGACUGCAGAAGUCAGUGAUAACGGAUGAAGACCCUGUUCCAGUAAUCGAAUCACUGCUGUGUGGACGCUGACAUAACUUAGGUGUGUGUUCUGGGUUCUGCCUUGCAGGUGGCGCAUAAGCACCAGGGGAUGUCCAGACCCGGUCGCCCUCAGCACAAGGCUAGGAUGGCAGAAGCGUGAGGGUUGUUUGCUGUUCAUAUCUGAGCAAAACUCAGCAAGAUACUCUUAGCUAGGAGACAGAUUUUGUGUCAAUAAAUGGCAGAUAAUGGGAGAUGUUCCUCAUCUUGUUACGAGCCCUGUUUGGAUACCCCAGCUGUUUUAAAGU